GCUGCCGGUUUCUCCAGGCGGGUCUCCGCUCGCUUUUUUUUCUUUACAUAAUGCUCUCCUCCGCCUCCCCUCCGCCUUCUUUUCUAAUGGACUAGCCCAGCCGGGGCUCGGCGCAUGCGCAAAGGCCCGUCCUCGCGCCCCUGCGGGUCAGAACCAGAACGAGAAGUAGCUGGUUCUAGAACCGUCGUCCUUGAUUUCGUAUAUGUUCGCUGUUGAUUAUGAGGGCUGGAUAUUCAAAUUCAGGCUUUGGAAAAACUGGUCCAAAUGGUCAGUUCACCCAGCAUGGCCUCCAGAUGCGGCUGCUCUCCCUGCAGUGUUGGCCUAGCCUCACUUAUUUCUGUGGCGAUCGUGCCCAUUGACCGGAGCUGAUCCCACGUGCGAACACCAGGAAGUCCUUUCAGCACCCCCUCACCCUCCGCGGCUCUAGGGUCUGGCCGAAGGGUCACUAGAAGUCAGCCAGCCCAUCGGUACAACUUCAUAUCACUCCAGGCAGAGCAGAGGCUGGCGCAGGUGAUUGGGAAACCCUAGGUCCUAGGUAGGCUCUGUAGCCAAGUGAAAAGGUCGCGACAAACUGGCGCCCAACAUGGGGCAUGCACUGCUGCCAUCAAGCUGCAUUGAACAUACGGAGAGUGAGACAGCUGCAGGAAAUAGUCGGGAUGCGUCUGGACCAAGAAGACGCGACACCCACAUCAAGACACCGAGGUCUGUUGGAGCCAGGCAGCCUCUUAGAAAGAGGUCUCCGACUCGUAUCCCAUUGCAAGAUAUGGAGUGGUGAUGGAGAACUUUGGGUUAGAAUGAAGGAUGUCCGCAUUAUCCAUUCAGAAGGGACAAGGCAAGCAGAAGAGAAAACACAGGCCGACCAGGAAUAAAAGGAGUUGAAAGAAUAAGAAGAAGGCACUACAAGAACUUUUAACCAAACUCUGACUCUUGUUGUUGUCGUCAGCAGUGGUACAGAACACAGCAGCAGCAGAGACAGGAAAUACAACAAGAUGGGCUUUUGUGACAAAACUGCCAUGGCCAAGACUAGUUACAUGGGAAGAGACAAUACCUGAUGUUAUUUUACAAGGGGAAUGCAUCUGCAGGAUUGGGGAAGGAAUUUAAUUUUACACCUCAAAAGAAUGGGUCAAUUACAGUAAAGUUUAAGUUUCAAAGAUUGGUAUGAGUCACGUUCUGAUCAUAUUUUUGGAAUAAUAGACCAAAGAAAUCAAUUAGCAAUUGUUAGGAAGAGGAGAUGUAUUUCAUGUGUAGCAUUAGGAAUUGUAUCGCUUAUAGCUAUCAUAACUGCUUCUGUAUCUUUAUCUCAAUCUGUAUCUAUUGCAAGAAAUGAAAUGGUUCAAGCUGAUUUUAUGAAUCAAUUAAAUUGCAAUGUAUCAAAGGGUUUUCAAGCACAAAAUAGGAUGGACAAAGAAUUUUACCAUAUACUUGAGGGAAUGAAGGAAACCAUUAUUGAAAUAGGUACCGAAUUGGAUAUUUUAGAAUAUAGAACACAUUUGAAAUGUGAUUAUAGGUAUGAAUUCAUUUGUCUUACCAAUGUUAAAUACAAUGACUCGCAAUGGGACUGGCAGAGAAUAUGUAGACAUCUGAAUGGGCUAUUUGGGAAUUCUACUGUUGCGUUGAAUAUUGAUGAUUUAUAUAAAAUUGCUGAUGAUAUUGCGAGGGCAGCUGAUGAAGAUUUGAUGCCAGAUAAGACUGCCUAACAUAUACUUGAUUGGAUAGAUAACAUCCAUGACCCUUUUAGUAACCUUGGACUUUGGCUUAUAUCUUUAUUAAAUAGUCUUCUUUGUUGCCAUUAUGUUUGAUAUUGCUGGCCAUGCUGUGUUUUGAGCCGUGUUUGCUCAGGUGCAUAGCUAAUCAGAUAAAGGACUUUGGGACUGAGCUU